GAUGAACGCUAGCGGCAGGCUUAACACAUGCAAGUCGAGGGGUAUGCUUCUUCGGGAGCAGAGACCGGCGCACGGGUGCGUAACGCGUAUGCAAUCUACCUUUCACAGAGGGAUAGCCCAGAGAAAUUUGGAUUAAUACCUCAUAGUAUACAGACUCGGCAUCGAGAUUGUAUUAAAGUCACAACGGUGAAAGAUGAGCAUGCGUCCCAUUAGCUUGUUGGUAAGGUAACGCUUACCAAGGCUACGAUGGGUAGGGGUCCUGAGAGGGAGA
rnacentral:rRNA from 1 species